UGCAUCUGCAGCUCAUGAGGAUGAGAACCUCCGGGGGCAGGGAGGUUCGACUCGAGCGAAGCGAGAGAACGUUGCGCCAGCAACGGCCCGCAGGGCG
rnacentral:sRNA from 1 species